rfam:Candidatus Hydrogenedentes bacterium CG1_02_42_14 cg1_0.2_scaffold_3571_c, whole genome shotgun sequence.
GCAGCGGUGGCGGAACUGGCAGACGCACCAGCUUGAGGGGCUGGCGCCCGCAAGGGUGUGGUGGUUCAAAUCCACUCCGCUGCA